GACGAACGCUGGCGGCGUGCUUAACACAUGCAAGUCGAACGGAAAGGCCCUGCUUUUGUGGGGUGCUCGAGUGGCGAACGGGUGAGUAACACGUGAGUAACCUGCCCUUGACUUUGGGGUAACUUCAGGAAACUGGGGCUAAUACCGGAUAGGAGCUCCUGCUGCAGGGUGGGGGUUGGAAAGUUUCGGCGGUUGGGGAUGGACUCGCGGCUGAUCAGCUUGUUGGUGGGGUAGUGGAUGACCAAGGCUUUGACGGGUCGCCGGCCCGGGAGGGUGACCGGGCCCAAUGGGACUACGGGAGGGACCAGUCGGCAAUAGGGGGCAAUGGGCGGGAACUUUUUCCAAUCGGCGGAAGCCUGAUGCGGCAACCCCGCGUGCGGAAUGCCGGCCUUCGGGUUGUAAACCGCUUUAGCCUGUGACGAAGCGUGAGUGACGGUAAUGGGUAAAGAAGCACCGGCUAACUACGUG
rnacentral:rRNA from 1 species